AGAGUCAUUUGCAUAGGGACGUGUUUGCAUGUGCAGAGCAUAUUUGGUCCAGAUGCUUGAUGUUGGGGCAGCUGAACGCUUACAACUGAUCCGUCAGCACAGACCAGCGAUGGCCUUCACUGCACUCUUCCUGUGGUCUCUCGUCGUCUGCAUUCAAGAUUCCAUGGGACAGGUCACUCUUACGCAACCUACAACAGUGACCAGCAGUCCAGGAGGCUCAGUUAAAAUCAGCUGUAAACGGACUGGAAGCAUUGAUUGGGACUGUUCUCCAAAAUGCAUCUCCUGGUACCAACAGAAGUCUGAGGAGAAACCCAAACUCCUCAUCUACUCUGUGAGCAGCCUCCAGUCUGGUAUUCCAUCUCGGUUUAGUGGCAGUGGAUCUGGGAAUGACUUCAGUCUGACCAUCAGUGGCGUCCAGAGUGAAGAUGCAGGAGAUUAUUACUGCAUGAGUUACCAUGACAUCAGAAAGGAUGUCGGUGAGUUCCCACGGUGAUACAGAGCCGUACAAAAACCUGCUUCAGUCAGUAGCCCCAGUGAGAGCCCUACUGCUGCAGCUGGAGCCCAGAGCAGGUGCUGAGAAGAGGGAAGUGGAGAGGAGUCACAUGGACAUGACACCAGGUUCCCACGCUAGUCUCUCACCAC